UACGUAUGGUGCAAGCGUUAUCCGGAUUUACUGGGUGUAAAGGGUGCGUAGGUGGCAUGGCAAGUCAGAAGUGAAAGGCCGGGGCUCAACCCCGGGACUGCUUUUGAAACUGUCAGGCUGGAGUGCAGGAGAGGAAAGCGGAAUUCCUAGUGUAGCGGUGAAAUGCGUAGAUAUUAGGAGGAACACCAGUGGCGAAGGCGGCUUUCUGGACUGAAACUGACACUGAGGCACGAAAGCGUG
rnacentral:rRNA from 1 species